rnacentral:tRNA from 1 species
AGGUCCGUAGCGUAACGGGAGCGCACUCGGCUCUUAAUCGAUGUGGUGAGGGUUCGACUCCCUCCGGACCUA